rnacentral:rRNA from 1 species
GACGAACGCUGGCGGCGUGCCUAAUACAUGCAAGUUGAGCGCUGAAGGUUGGUACUUGUACCGACUGGAUGAGCAGCGAACGGGUGAGUAACGCGUGGGGAAUCUGCCUUUGAGCGGGGGACAACAUUUGGAAACGAAUGCUAAUACCGCAUAAAAACUUUAAACACAAGUUUUAAGUUUGAAAGAUGCAAUUGCAUCACUCAAAGAUGACCCCGCGUUGUAUUAGCUAGUUGGUGAGGUAAAGGCUCACCAAGGCGAGGAUGCAUAGCCGACCUGAGAGGGUGAUCGGCCACAUUGGGACGGAGACACGGCCCAAACGCCUACGGGAGGCAGCAGUAGUGAAUCUGCGGCAAUGGACGAAAGUCUGACCAAGCAACGCCGCGUGAGUGAAGAAGGUUUUCGGAUCGUGAAACUCUGUUGGUAGAGAAGAACGUUGGUGAGAGUGGAAAGCUCAUCAAGUGACGGUAACUACCCAGAAAGGGACGGCUAACUACGUG